rnacentral:piRNA from 1 species
GUAAUCUUCUAUGUUGGUCUCCGAUUACAG